AUGAGGCUAAUGUCCAAACUCCAAAGUGAGUUCAUGACAUGGUUUGUUUGUGCAACAUUUGAAGGCAAUGUUCCAAAAUGGAACCGCGGUGGGACAGAGCCAGACGCUCAUUUUCUAAUGCUACUAUUUCUGGCUUCUUGAUUUCAUAGCAAAUGGGGGACACUAGACGCGCGCGGUGGCGGAAAGCACAAUUGAAACCAAGGACUUAGUAGAUUUGAUUCCUAUCUGGAAGGAUUGCAUUUGUUAGAGUUGGAGUUGUGCCGUGAAUUAUAAAACCACACAAAAACCAGAACUGCGCCGUCUUCUACCUCGCAAGUGUGUCGUUCCUUCUACCUCGCCGUGCUGCCCCAAACAUCCCAACAAUCCCGCCAACCACCACACUUCUCCUUCAUUAGGGGUUUUAAUAUUUCAAUAAUUGAAAAAUGUUGUGAUUGCUAAAAUGAUCAAGUUGUUUGAUUCUUCCAGGUUAAUGAUGAAGUUUGCUGUAAAAUGAUGGAAUUGAUUGAUUCUUCUUUGUUUUGUGGAGAUCAUCAUUGAAACAAAGAGAAGAUCCAUGAGGCUAAUAUCCAAGGUUUUUGCUUUAACAUUUGGUGCCAUUAAUUAUAGUAAAAUUAUAUAUUUUAUAUUCAAUGAAAAGCAAGAAAAUUUAUUCAAUUU